rnacentral:rRNA from 1 species
AGCGAACGCUGGCGGCAGGCCUAACACAUGCAAGUCGAACGAACCUUUCGGGGUUAGUGGCGGACGGGUGAGUAACACGUGGGAACGUGCCUUUAGGUUCGGAAUAACUCAGGGAAACUUGUGCUAAUACCGAAUGUGCCCUUCGGGGGAAAGAUUUAUCGCCUUUAGAGCGGCCCGCGUCUGAUUAGCUAGUUGGUUGAGGUAAUGGCUCACCAAGGCGACGAUCAGUAGCUGGUCUGAGAGGAUGAUCAGCCACAUUGGGACUGAGACACGGCCCAAAAUCCUACGGGAGGCAGCAGUGGGGAAUCUUGCGCAAUGGGCGAAAGCCUGACGCAGCCAUGCCGCGUGAAUGAUGAAGGUCUUAGGAUUGUAAAAUUCUUUCACCGGGGACGAUAAUGACGGUACUCGGAGAAGAAGCCCCGGCUAACUUCGUG